UUACACCUUAAAAAAUAAAUUAUGUCAAAUACUGUAAAAAUCAGUCUCCAAACAUAAAAAUUCAAACAAUGAAAAUUUGACAUUUUUAAAAAAGUAAAACACUGAAUUAUUUGUGGUAUAAUGUAAACACCAUUAAUAGGAAUCAAAGAACAAUGCCCAUUGAUCAGAUUUCACAAUGCAACCAUGAAAACAGGAGACAUUUAUUUAAAAGCAAUUUUUUCAGGCUUUCAAGACAACAGCUUUUAAAGUCUAUUUAGUAUAGUCAUUUGGUUUAUAUAAGACCAUAACCUCAUUACUGAUAAUUUCACUUUCAAAUAGUUAACACAGAUUAAAUGCACCUAUCAAAAACUGGGCUUCUCCAAGCUGAAAAUAAACUAUUUCUUCAAUGGUUAAGUUUAGAAGUAGGACAAGGAGGUUCUUGUCACCUCAGCAUGUUAGGAACAUUAAAAGAGUUAAUGGGAUUACACAGCAUGAAAGCAGCUCCCAGAUCUAGUGGUGACAGACUAAGAGUAAUACUGAUAAAUAACAAAUAUGCUCCUUAGAGCUAUUAUUGGAUUAAAUGCUGAUAUUAUUUUUUAUAACUAUGCCUUUGUCUUUGAAAAAAGCUACUAAAAAGAGAGAAGCAUUAGAAGUAUGUUUUUUGAAAAAGAUAAGAAAUGGACAUUAACUUUCUCUUUGUGUUAUUUUUAGAUAGAGAAACACUUUUUGUGGACUUAGACUCUUGAGUCUCUGGGUAGAUAUCUUGAUUGUCUCAGAUAGUACUGUUUUGCUGAUGUAUUUGAUAUUCCAGAAUCAUUUCGCAUUGGAACCUUGUUUUCAUCUCCUGACUGGAUACAACAUGAAGCCUUUGGAUCUGGCACACUGAAAAAUCAAAAUGAUCAGACAACGUAACCAAAAACUUCAGCUCAGAAUACCACAAGCUGACGCUAGCCUGAAGAGUACAGUGCUCUGCUCUCAUCCUGCCUUCACCAGUACAAUUUAUUCCCUGAAAGUAACAGCCAAAUCUCCUACAUCAUGAGUUUGACUGGCACUUAAAAAAAAAAAAAAAAAAAAAAAAAAAAAAAAAAGUCUAUCCAACACUAUUUAAUGACUGUUCAUGGUGUUCUUUGAAUGCUUAAACUGUUUUUCCAAUUCAUACAGAUACCCUAAAUUCUUCCUCAGUUAAUAGGAAAUGGAGGAAACUUGAGAUGUAUUUUAAUUUAUGAAAAUUCUAUCAAAAAAGCAGGAUUGUAUCUCAUUGAGGUAGUUACUGAAAUGAAUGAAAGUGGAACUGUCCAUAUGAAUGGAAAAUUUGACUUUAAAUCAAAAUUUUAAUAAAAAGCAACUAAAGACUUAAAAAAAAAAAAAAAAAGCAAUAAUGCAAGUACAUAUGCAAAAUAGCAAGUCACAUCACCAUAGUAAGAAGUCUUUUUGUUAAAUGAGCUCAGUGGGAAAAUAAGAUUAGGCAGAAGAAUUAAAAAAGCAAAGGUGAGAUCACUCCUCAAAAAGGAAGGGGGGAAGGCAUUUUGAGCAGUUUUUCUUCUAUGAAUUUCACUUAAUCUCUUAAAGAAAGAAUGUUUACAUUAAGAUUUUUUUUCAAAACCAAUGAAAAAAGAAUUAAGGCAGAGAAAACUGUGUAAUCCAAGUAGUACACGAGGCAGCAUAUGCCACCGUUCCUCAUUACCUCAUGCUGUGAACAAGUGCAAAGUAAGUAAGACUCCCUUGGAAAAACUGGGUAGUUUAAGAAUUGGCCUACUGAAUAAAUGGAAAUGUGGGUAAGUGUUGCAAAACUUUCCCUAACUUAGGUGACAGAGGAAAUGAAGUUAACUUAGUUUCAGUAAAACACACGUUUCUUAAAAACAAGACAAACACCCAAACCUUAAGUGCCUGAAAAUAAAUUUGAUUCAGCUUGGAUAUUACUGUUGUUAUGUCACGACCACACCCAAAUCUGGUCUGCUCAUAUAUCUCUUUGCAUCCUUGCAGAGCUUCAUUGACUUAAGUUUUAGCAGAUUUGUUUUAUCAAUGCAUAAAUCUACUGGACACUGUGAACCAUGAAAAUUGUGAUUUUAUAAUUACAGGACUUACCUAAAAAGACAUUCCUUGUUUUUCUUUUCUUUUAACAGUGCAAUGCUAGGAUUCUUUGAAUAUGACAUUCCAAAUUCGGUGUCAUCCAAGUCAUCCCGGCUGUCCACAGCCUUUACCAAAGCUUGACCCCAUCGUCUCCUGCAGCUUUUAAGACCUACUGCACCAUUUUGAGUGCUACUAGCUGCUUGUUUCUGUUUUAAAUAAGGAAAAAAAAAAGCUUCAAUUCAGUUCUCAAACUUUGUAUUUUACAUCUAGUUCACUUCCUGAAUACACAUGAAGAACUUUGAGAAUUUUUUCCCUUGUGUUUUGUGUGUAUUUUGGUUUGAGUCUCAGAAUUAUUUUGAUACAAAACAUAUAACAACAUCGAGAGGUAUUUUGAGUGUAGCUCAGCUGGAUUGUCAACCUUAAAUUGCCCAAAUCUAUGUGAAGCUAAUGUUCUAUUUGCAGGUCCAAUUCAGCCCUGAGGCUCUACUGCUACAGAACCUACAAGAACUACAGAGCCUGUGUUCUUGACUGUGGAAGAUAAACUGUCAGGAGUGGGGUAGCAUGGUGCAGACCCUUCAGGGCAAUCAUGCUCAAGGUUUGGAGUGCCAAUUGCUAUGGUCCCAAAGUAGGUAUAUCUAUCUUUCAGAAGUCAGUUAGGCCUUUCCUUAACAUUUUCUGCCAAACAAACAAUUAGAUUAUAAAGCUGUUCUUUCACCCGACUGUAGUUUGCUUUCCAGUAUCUUCUGAAUAUCUGUUAUUUUUAACAUACUUCAUAUUGUAGUUCAGUGAGCAUGAGUGGAAAGCCAAAUGAAGGGCACCUUUCUAUUUUUAUUUCAAAAACAUUUUAGAUACUCUUAAGAUUUCAAACCAAAGUUUAAUAUGCAUCUUGCUAAAAAUCUUUCUUUUAAAUUCUGACAAGUUCAGGAAUUUAAAAGAAGUGGUGAGUUUCCUGUGAUUUACAGGUGCUCCUCACUUUGUAGCUAUUCACUAAUAGGCAGUAGUAAGAGAACUAAUGUCCUAAAAAAGCCUCUAAGCUUUCUCAGGUAUCUUCUUGCAUGAGGCAAAGGAAUUUCUAGCUUUCCAUUUGUUUAAUGUAUACUACCAAUAUUUUGUGAAUUGUUUCUCAAAGGUUAAUAAGUGAUAGCUGUUAAAACCGUGUUACCAUAUAUGUCAGUAAAGGGUAUUAUACAUAAGCAUACAUUGUUGUUACAAGCAAUCUGUUCUUCUGAUGUGCUGUAAAAUUUUAAUAAAUGUCUGGUUUUGUUAUAAUUUUUAAUUAAUCCCUAAUUAUCUAUUCAUAAUUCCUCUAAUAAGGAAUAUGACAAUUUUCAAGGGAUGUACUGGUUGUAUAUAGUAAGAGCUUGUAAUAGAAUCACCUGUCUAAAUUAGCUAUUACUGAAAACAACUUACUGGUGAUGAGUUUUUAAUGAGAGCUGGAAAAAAUGGUUGUGUCUGUGGCUGCUGCUGUUUUGAUAUUUGUUGGUUAACUGUAUUCUGAGGCAACUGAAUUUGCUGGAGAGGUGAGUGGUCAGCCUUUAACAGGGGCUGUGGCUGUGUUUUGUCAGGUACAUCAGGUGAAGACAGAAGUUCUAGCUUGGCUACAGCUUCCAGUUUGGGUAGAGUUGGCUUUGGCUCUGUUGGCUGUACUGGUUUAAGAGGAGUUUGCUUCUCCAAAUAUUGUGAAGGAGGUCCUAGAACUUGGCCAACUUGAAAGUAAGGGUACUUCAAAGCCUGGAAAAGAAGAUACAAUUAUACUUCAAAAAGUUAAUUUCAGUAACCACAUCAAGGAUCUAAGCAGGUUUUUGAAGCGUAUGAGGAAGUUCUACAGCACAGAUGCAAGAUGUAUGCAUAAUGAGAUCAUAUGUAAACAGUAUGUACAGAAAGCUGUCAGUUUUGUAUGUUAAGCUCUUCUCGUAUAAUUCAGUAAGAUGAAUACACUUGUACAAGUUAGAGCAGUCAUGUACUUUUUUCCUCUUUUACUUCUAGGUUUUGUAGGCUUUGAUUUUUGGGAUGCAUACUUAACAGCUAAUGCUUAUAUAUUAUGGAAAUAGCCAAUCUAGAAAUAUUUAGAAUAAACAAAUAGCUUACUCAGUUAAAGAGGAUUUCUGCAUUCAUGUAGUAACAUAUUUCCAUCCAAAGAUGUAAUCUCCACUACAAUAUUAAAUCCUCAGGGCUUUACUGCACGCUUCCAAACCUAACUGUCUUUUGGUGAUUCCUGAUUCUUCCUUGUUACUCAAUGAACAGCCUGACUUUUCUUUUUAACAGAAGUGUGAUGGUUGCCUUUCAAUAUUAAUGUCUGGGUUUUGCAAUUAGAAUUUGUUAAUGAUUAAAAUUUCUCCUUCAUUUUCAUAUUA